UUUUUUUAUCUUAACCUUUGACCUAGGAAUUUGUACAUACAUUAUGACAUAUCCAUAAUGUAUGUAAAACUUUCUAGGUCAAAGGUCAGGGUCAAA
rnacentral:sRNA from 1 species